UACGUAGGGGGCUAGCGUUGUCCGGAUUUAUUGGGCGUAAAGAGCGUGUAGGCGGCCAGGUAGGUCUGGCGUGAAAACUCGAGGCUUAACCUCGAGAUGUCAUCGGAAACCAUCUGGCUAGAGUCCGGAAGAGGAGAGUGGAAUUCCUGGUGUAGCGGUGAAAUGCGCAGAUAUCAGGAAGAACACCAAUGGCGAAGGCGGCUCUCUGGGACGGUACUGACGCUGAGACGCGAAAGCGUGGGGAGCGAACAGG
rnacentral:rRNA from 1 species